rnacentral:rRNA from 1 species
UACGUAGGGUGCAAGCGUUGUCCGGAAUUAUUGGGCGUAAAGAGCUCGUAGGCGGUUUGUCGCGUCUGGUGUGAAAAUCCAGGGCUUAACCCUGGACCUGCAUCGGGUACGGGCAGACUAGAGUGCGGUAGGGGAGAUCGGAAUUCCUGGUGUAGGCGGUGAAAUGCGCAGAUAUCAGGAGGAACACCGGUGGCGAAGGCGGAUCUCUGGGCCGUAACUGACGCUGAGGAGCGAAAGCAUGGGGAGCGAACAGG